rnacentral:lncRNA from 1 species
CUUGAACAGAAGAAUUAUUAAGUACAGUAUGGAAUGGUUGCAAGAAACCCAUGAAGUUUUAAUGGUUGGCAGUCAAAUAAUUACUCAAACUAGUGUUCCACAAUGAAGUACAUAUAUUGGAACAUUAGAGGCAUUGGGAAUCUUGACACCCAAGUGCAUCUGUUUCAACUGGUUAAGUCUCAUAAACCAUAAUUUCUUUUUCUGGCUGAACCUAUUGUUGCUUACAAUCAGAUACCUGCCUGGUAUUGGCAUAGGCUCCAUCUUCAAAACUCAGUGGUUAAUGACAACAACAAAAUUUGGUGUUUGUGGAGCAAUCAAAUUAAUACCAACAUUCUUUUCAAUAGUGCACAAUGCAUUGCUCUAUCUUACAUUUCAAAUGGGUCUAUUAUAUACACAGCUGCUAUAUAUGCCUCCACCAAAUACACUACUAGAAGACAGCUAUGGAUGGAUUUGUGAAACACCCCUACUAGACAUUACCUAGGAUAUCUAGCAUGUGUGUUAAACUUGGCAUUGGAUACAUUAAAAUUUCAAUAAUAAAAAUUUCCUCUUAAUGAAAUAUGGAAAUGCUCGACUUAUACGUCUGAAAUAAUACCACUGACGUGAACUUCCUAUGAUCCGACAACUUCUGCCUCUUCACCACAACCCAUUCUGUCAUCUAGCAACCUGAAUAUCUGAAAUAAAUAAAAGGGAUUGGGGUGAGACAGGAUGUCUCAGUGAGUUCCACCUAUCCUAGGUUGUAGGCAAUUGCAGGGAACCUAAGAUCGCCAUCUAUUCUAAACUUAACCCAUUUCGGGUUUAUACAGUCUUUAUCACACAUAACUGAGCGAUCAGGGAUAACUAGGAUCACUACCUUAUACUAUAAUGAUUCUAUCAUAAUGUCAUAUUCUUAUUUUUACACAUAAUCAUAAUCAUAAUCAUAACUCUUACUUAAAGUUCAUGUCAUUAAUUUUUUAUUUUUAUUUUUUUUUAUACAUUUCAAUGUGUGCAUAUAUACCACAUUAAUUACUAUGAGCCGUACCUCAUAUGCUACAUUAUCUCUUCGUUGUAACAAACGGAAUUUUCACAUUUAUUACUAUGAGCCGUAUCUCAUAGGCUACAUUAUCUCUUCGUUGUAGCAAACGAAGUUUUUCUCGAUUUGUUACUAUAAGUCGUACCUCAUAGGCUACAUUAUCUCUUCGUUGUAGCAAACGGAGUUUUCACAUUAAUUACUAUGAGCCGUAACUCAUAGGCUACAUUAUCUCUUCGUUGUAGCAAACGAAGUUUUUCUCGAUUUGUUACUAUGAGCCGUACCUCAUAGGUUACAUUAUCUCUUCGUUGUAGCAAACGGAGUUUUCACAUUAAUUACUAUGAGCCGUACCUCAUAGGCUACAUUAUCUCUUGGUUGUAGCAAACAGAAUUUUUGAAUUUGUUACUAUGAGCCGUACCUCAUAGGCUACAUUAUCUCUUCGUUGUAGCAAACGAAAUUUUCACAUUUAUUACUAUGAGCCGUACCUCAUAGGCUACAUUAUCUCUUCGUUGUAGCAAACGGAGUUUUUCUCGAUUUGUUACUAUGAGCCGUACCUCAUAAGCUACAUUAUCUCUUCGUUGUAGCGAACGGAGUUUUCACAUUAAUUACUAUGAGCCGUACCUCAGGCUACAUUAUCUCUUCGUUGUAGCAAACGGAAUUUUUGCAUUUGUUACUAUGAGCCGUACCUCAUAGGCUACAUUAUCUCUUCGUUGUAGCAAACGGAUAUUUUCGCAAUUUUAUUGUUAUUUUUUUUUCUUUCUUUCUACGAGCAUGUUACUCGUUUCAAUUUUUCUUUCAAAUAAUUUCUAUAAGUAUAUACAUCAAUUGUCUUGCUUAGCAUUUUAUUGUUAGAACCAAUUCAUAUGACUUCGCAUAACAUUGAUAUCAUACAAGAUUUCAUUCACAUUAUCAUGACUUUGCAUAACCAUUAAAAUCUCGUUUGUUUACAUACUCAAAUGUACUUGACAGCGUGAGGCUUAUUUUCAGUCUUGUCAUAGUGGCAAUUACACUUACGAUCUCCUAUGAGAUAGCUUCAACUCCAAAAAUUCAUUAUUUUGGUUUUCAGGACACUUGCAUAAGAAAAAUCAUCGGACGAAAAUGUUUAACUCCUUAAUACUUUACUUCGUUCUUAACUCAUUAGCACUAGCGACAUCCUUUCCUAUAACAGAACCUUAAAAAUGAUUUUCAAAUUCAAAAAUCUUGAUUAAUCAUUAACACAUCAACUUAUUAUAUUCAUGCGGUAACACAUUCUGUUGAAAGAAUUUGACAUUACUCGUCCAUUAAUUCACUGAACUCCGAUAACUUAUUAUUAAAUCUUUAUUUUCCGUUUCAACCGAAAAUUACAUCUUGUCUCAUGCCAUUACCGGGAUCUCUUUCCACCUACUGCUAAACUUGUAUUUCUUAGUUCAGAAGACAACUUAAUAACUUGUGAUAGAUACGGGGUCUAAUUUAGUUUUCUCGUGUACAACUCCCGUUAUCUUAACUUCUCUAUAAUUAUUGUCAAUAAAAAUACAUCUGAAUCUUACUUGACCCAUAAAAGAUCCUUGCACUACUCUUUAUUCAUCCUUCUUGACUCUUACGCCGCAUAGCACCUUCACUUCGUGAUUCAUAAAUCUGGCACUUAAGAUUCGGGGAAUGUGGCUAAUCUGACAUAGUUUAUCUAGUUUGCGUUGUCCACUCCGUAAAGGGGUUAUUUUCGUCUGUUCUAAAAUAAUUUACUUAAUUUUCCAAUUAAUUCACUUAACAACUCAGACAUUAAAAUCUUGAGUGUUUCUUACAUCUUCUACUUCUCCUGAGCACUUAUAAAUUCUGUUAACCGUCUAAUAAUUCCCUCACGUCAAGUUCCUCUCCUGAUCCCGCAUCCUUAUUUACGCCUUCAGAAAUAUUUCUUUUCUUUAUACCUAGCUUAUGCUUCUUAUACUACUGCUCUUGUUAAGGUUAUAAUCAUCCCUUAAUCGUCCUGAAUAUCUUACUUCUCUUGUAUCCACAUAUGAAGUGUUGUUCAAUGACAUUAAAGUAAUCCGUCUUACCCACAACAUUUCCCUUAUAUACUCGAAGAAUCUUAAGCUUCGCAGUUACCAGCCACAAUUGGAGUCAAAUACUUCCUUAACAAGAUUCAUCACAAAACAUAACACCAUGAUGUUUCUUCUUCGGACGCUUCAUUCCUCCUAGGCCCUAUUCAGCUCUCAGACACUUGUUCUAACUAUCAUAUACUAGUCUGAGUUGAUCAGGCUCAGCUAGACAUGACAUUUAGAAUAAAUAUCCGGAACUCAAUGGUCCCACUGCAUUUUAUUGAAUUCUAAUGACCCAGGCACGAUCUGAAUCGACCUGCUCUGAUACCAAAUUGAAACACCCCUACUAGACAUUACCUAGGAUAUCUAGCAUGUGUGUUAAACUUGGCAUUGGAUACAUUAAAAUUUCAAUAAUAAAAAUUUCCUCUUAAUGAAAUAUGGAAAUGCUCGUCUUAUACCUCUGAAAUAAUACCAUUGACGUGAACUUCCUAUGAUCCGACAACUUCUGCCUCUUCACCACGAACCAUUCUGUCAUCUAGCAACCUGAAUAUCUGAAAUAAAUAAAAGGGAUUGGGGUGAGACAGGAUGUCUCAGUGAGUUGCACCUAUCCUAGGUUGUAGGCAAUCGCAGGGAACCUAGGAUCGCCAUCUGUUCUAAACUUAACCCAUUUCGGGUUUAUACAGUCUUUAUCACACAUAACUGAGCGAUCGGGGAUAACUAGGAUCACUACCUAAUACUAUAAUGAUUCUAUCAUAAUGUCAUAUUCUUAUUUUUACACAUAAUCAUAAUCAUAAUCAUAACUCUUACUUAAAGUUCAUGUCAUUAUUUUUUUUUUUUUUUUUAUACAUUUCAAUGUGUGCAUAUAUACCACAUUAAUUACUAUGAGCCGUACCUCAUAUGCUACAU